rnacentral:rRNA from 1 species
GGACUACCGGGGUAUCUAAUCCCGUUUGCUCCCCUGGCUUUCGUGUCUCAGCGUCAGCACACCCCCAGCAGUCUGUUUUCACCAUUGGCGUUCCAAGUGAUAUCUACGCAUUUCACCGCUCCACCACUUGUUCCGACUGCCCCUAGGUGGCUCAAGAUCGCCAGUAUACCCAGCCGUUCCCCGGUUGAGCCGGGGGAUUUCACAAGGUACUUAACGACCCGCCUACACACGCUUUAAGCCCAGUGAUUCCGCCUAACGCUUGGCACCUCUGUCUUACCGCGGCUGCUGGCAC